GUUUAAAAUGUUUGGUUAAGCACAACUCAAGUUUAACUAUAUAAACUGGGGUCCAAAAGAAAGUUCUUUGGAACCUAACUCCAGGAUAGAGCCCAGGAUCAGAGCUGCCAGAUCUCAGCAUCCUGCCAACUGUAUCAUGCAGAAGUUGGAAUCCCUGGCCGACCUGAUUCUGUCUGGCCAUCAGGAAAAUUCUGUCUGCCUUAUUGGCAGUGGUAACAUCUCUGUGACUGAGUUUCCCAUCUGUAAUUAGAACAUAAGAACGGCCAUACUGGGUCA